GAUGAAGAACGUAGUGAAAUGCGAUACGUAAUGUGAAUUGCAGAAUUCAGUGAAUCAUCGAAUCUUUGAACGCAUAUUGCGCUCUCUGGUAUUCCGGAGAGCAUGCUUGUUUGAGUAUCAGUAAACACCUCAACUCCCCUUUCUUUUUUGAAAUGGGAGCUGGACUUGAGUGAUCCCAACGCUUUUCUCACCGAAAAGUGGCGGGUUACUUGAAAUGCAGGUGCAGCUGGACUUUUCUCUGAGCUAAAAGCAUAUCUAUUUAGUCUGCCUAAAAACAGAUUAUUACCUUUGCUGCAGCUAACAUAAAGGAGAUUAGUUCUUGUGCUGACUGAUGCAGGAUUCACAGAGACAGCUUCGGCUGGCCUUUGUAAACUCGAUCUCAAAUCAAGUAAGACUACCCGCUGAACUUAAGCAUAGCAAUAAGCGGAUGA
rnacentral:misc_RNA from 1 species